rnacentral:rRNA from 1 species
UACAGAGGGGGCAAGCGUUGUUCGGAAUUACUGGGCGUAAAGGGCGCGUAGGCGGCCUGCUAAGUCGAACGUGAAAUCCCCGGGCUCAACCCGGGAACUGCGUCCGAUACUGGCAGGCUUGAAUUCGGGAGAGGGAUGCGGAAUUCCAGGUGUAGCGGUGAAAUGCGUAGAUAUCGGGAGGAACACCAGUGGCGAAGGCGACUACCUGGCCUGUUCUUGACGCUGAGGCGCGAAAGCUAGGGGAGCAAACGGG